rnacentral:lncRNA from 1 species
GUUUUAAAAGAAAAAAAUUGGUAACUACUGUCAGAAGAAAAAAGCGAGUGAAAACAAAUGACCGGCACAAGUGCCUAUGACAAUUUCUCUCCCUGGACUGUUGCAGAGCUGACGAGGUGGAGGUGGGUGAGGGAGGGAGGGACAGAGGUAAGAAACAGAUUAAAAGUGUCACUUCCGGCCAGGCGCUGUGGCUCACGCCUGUAAUCCCAACACUUUGGGAGGCCGAGGCGAGUGGAUCACCUGAGGUCAGGAGUUCGCGACCAGCCUGACCCACAUGGUGAAACCCCGUCUCUACUAAAGUUAGCCAGACGUGGUGGCCGGCGCCUGUGAUCUCAGCUACUCGGGAGGCUGAGGCAGGAGAAUCGCUUGUACCCGGGAGGCGAGGUUGCAGUGAGCCGAGAUCGCGCCA